UAGGGAAUCUUCCGCAAUGGGCGAAAGCCUGACGGAGCAACGCCGCGUGAGUGAUGAAGGUCUUCGGAUCGUAAAACUCUGUUAUUAGGGAAGAACAAAUGUGUAAGUAACUAUGCACGUCUUGACGGUACCUAAUCAGAAAGCCACGGCUAACUACGUGCCAGCAGCCGCGGUAAUACGUAGGUGGCAAGCGUUAUCCGGAAUUAUUGGGCGUAAAGCGCGCGUAGGCGGUUUUUCAAGUCUGAUGUGAAAGCCCACGGCUCAACCGUGGAGGGUCAUUGGAAACUGGAAAACUUGAGUGCAGAAGAGGAAAGUGGAAUUCCAUGUGUAGCGGUGAAAUGCGCAGAGAUAUGGAGGAACACCAGUGGCGAAGGCGACUUUCUGGUCUGUAACUGACGCUGAUGUGCGAAAGCGGGGGGAUCAAACAGG
rnacentral:rRNA from 1 species